rfam:Gossypium raimondii chromosome 8, whole genome shotgun sequence.
AAACCAUGAUGGUGGCAGCUUCUUAAAAAGUCAUUGUAUCUCUCUCAUGCAUCAUAUAAAGUCUCUAAAUCGGUCUGAACAAAGGAAGAGAUAUCAUUCCUCAACUU